UGAGUAACCUGCCCUUAACUCUGGGAUAAGCCUGGGAAACUGGGUCUAAUACCGGAUAUGACUCCUCAUCGCAUGGUGGGGGGUGGAAAGCUUUUUUGUGGUUUUGGAUGGACUCGCGGCCUAUCAGCUUGUUGGUGAGGUAAUGGCUCACCAAGGCGACGACGGGUAGCCGGCCUGAGAGGGUGACCGGCCACACUGGGACUGAGACACGGUCCAGACUCCGUACGGGAGGCAG
rnacentral:rRNA from 1 species